rnacentral:rRNA from 1 species
GAUGAACGCUGGCGGCGUGCCUAAUACAUGCAAGUCGAGCGAACAGAUGAGGAGCUUGCUCCUCUGACGUUAGCGGCGGACGGGUGAGUAACACGUGGAUAACCUACCUAUAAGACGGGGAUAACUUCGGGAAACCGGAGCUAAUACCGGAUAAUAUAUUGAACCGCAUGGUUCAAUAGUGAAAGACGGUUUUGCUGUCACUUAUAGAUGGAUCCGCGCCGCAUUAGCUAGUUGGUAAGGUAACGGCUUACCAAGGCAACGAUGCGUAGCCGACCUGAGAGGGUGAUCGGCCACCCUGGAACUGAGACACGCUCCCGACUCCUGCGGGAGGCAGCAGUAGGGAAUCUUCCGCAAUGGGCGGAAGCCUGACGGAGCAACGCCGCGUGAGUGAUGAAGGUCUUCGGAUCGUAAAACUCUGUUAUUAGGGAAGAACAAAUGUGUAAGUAACUAUGCACGUCUUGACGGUACCUAAUCAGAAAGCCACGGCUAACUACGUG